rnacentral:snoRNA from 1 species
GCAUAGAUUUGGAUUUAUGGCAGGCCUGUCUCCCCAGACCUCUCAUAGUAUCCCAUGCCAGAGCAAACUGUAGCCCCAACCCUUUGCCUAGCCUUGUCCAUAGGCCUUGGCACUGAAACGGGUUGCACAGUG